rnacentral:rRNA from 1 species
AACUAACGCUGGCGGCGUGCCUAACACAUGCAAGUCGUACGAGAAAGCCGGCUUCGGCUGGUGAGUAAAGUGGCGCACGGGUGAGUAACGCGUGGAUAAUCUGCCCUUAAGUGUGGAAUAACGUACCGAAAGGUGCGCUAAUACCGCAUAAUGCCUGGCAACACAAGUUGUCCGGCCAAAGAAGGCCUCUGUUUACAAGCUUUCGCUUCAGGAUGAGUCCGCGUACCAUUAGCUUGUUGGUGGGGUAAUGGCCUACCAAGGCUGCGAUGGUUAGCUGGUCUGAGAGGAUGAUCAGCCACACUGGAACUGAGACACGGUCCAGACUCCUACGGGAGGCAGCAGUGAGGAAUAUUGCGCAAUGGGGGCAACCCUGACGCAGCAACGCCGCGUGAGUGAGGAAGGUUUUCGGACUGUAAAGCUCUGUCGAGCGGGAAGAGGUGUACCAUGGCUAAUAUCCAUGAUAUUUGACGGUACCGCUAGAGG